UCAACGAAGUGUCAAUCGCAACAUUGCUAAUUCGAAUGUGGGCAAUUGAAAUUUAUAUUAACUUUGUGUUGUGCCGCCAAAGAGUGGAAAAACAAAUCAUCUGUCCAGGUAUGGUAACAAGAUAAUCGUUCUCUUCAGUGUUGUACCAACUAAACUACAAGAUCAACUGUGGAGUAGGCUGAUAAUACAAAAGUUUAGUUUCUUGACGUUGUUUUGAUGUACUCAAGUAUAGUCACAAGUUGAUCAAUGUGUUUUCAAUUAGAUCAAAACAAUCAAAGUCGUCAGUAGAAAAGUUAUUCUUCAACGCCUGUAAAUACAUAUAACUACCAAACGAAAGCAAGCGUUGCUGGGAAGAAAAAUGCCAUAAGUGAGUCUAUCUAUAUUUUUGAAAAGCUUCAUGUUCGUGGAAUAUUAAUGCUCGCCUACUGUCGGAUGUUACAAUCGAUCCGGUUUAUAUCAUAGCAACUGCCAUUCAUUGCGAGCAGUGCCAAGCACAUCGUUCUAAAUAAUCUCUAAUAAAAUUCUGUCAAUUA